rnacentral:rRNA from 1 species
CACGUAGGCACCAAGCGUUAUCCGGAAUUAUUGGGCGUAAAGAGCUCGUAGGCGGCUUGUCGCGUCGACUGUGAAAUCCCGCGGCUCAACCGCGGGUCUGCAGUCGAUACGGGCAGGCUAGAGUUCGGUAGGGGAGACUGGAAUUCCUGGUGUAGCGGUGAAAUGCGCAGAUAUCAGGAGGAACACCGGUGGCGAAGGCGGGUCUCUGGGCCGAUACUGACGCUGAGGAGCGAAAGCGUGGGGAGCGAACAGG